rnacentral:lncRNA from 1 species
GCUUUCACUAAUUUGAGCAUAUAAACUGUUAAGUUUUGUAAGUAUGUCUGUGUUAACUUUAAUCUUACUCAGGACAAAGUUAGUAAAUUCUUUUCAGUGGUUUUGAAAAAAAUUAAAGUCUACAUGUAAAAAUAGAUUGCUUAUAUCCUGUUGAUUUCUUUUGUUGAUGUUGAUGGUUGUUGUUUUCUGUGUGAUUGUACCAUUUCACAGAAGGAUAUAGUUUAAAAAGUGAUGCUGGAAGUUGUGUAGUAACUUUCAGUGGUCAAAUUCAUAGUUAAGUUUUUAAAUAUAUAUUUUACAGUAUAUAUGUUUGUCAGUAUAC